GUAAGGAAUAUUGGACAAUGGACGCAAGUCUGAUCCAGCCAUGCCGCGUGAAGGAUUAAGGUCCUCUGGAUUGUAAACUUCUUUUAUAAGGGACGAAAAAAGGCUUUUCUAAGUCGUCUGACGGUACCUUAUGAAUAAGCACCGGCUAACUCCGUGCCAGCAGCCGCGGUAAUACGGAGGGUGCAAGCGUUAUCCGGAUUCACUGGGUUUAAAGGGUGCGUAGGCGGGCAGGUAAGUCAGUGGUGAAAUCCUACAGCUUAACUCUAGAACUGCCAUUGAUACUAUCUGUCUUGAAUAUUGUGGAGGUAAGCGGAAUAUGUCAUGUAGCGGUGAAAUGCUUAGAUAUGACAUAGAACACCUAUUGCGAAGGCAGCUUACUACGCAUAUAUUGACGCUGAGGCACGAAAGCGUGGGGAUCAAACAGGAUUAGAAACCCGUGUAGUCC
rnacentral:rRNA from 1 species